rnacentral:rRNA from 1 species
CAGUCGCCGCGGUAAUACGAAGGGUGCAAGCGUUACUCGGAAUUACUGGGCGUAAAGCGUGCGUAGGUGGUGGUUUAAGUCCGUUGUGAAAGCCCUGGGCUCAACCUGGGAAUUGCAGUGGAUACUGGGUCACUAGAGUGUGGUAGAGGAUAGUGGAAUUUCCGGUGUAGCAGUGAAAUGCGUAGAGAUCGGAAGGAACAUCUGUGGCGAAGGCGACUAUCUGGGCCAACACUGACACUGAGGCACGAAGGCGUGGGGAGCAAACAGGAUUAGAUACCCCUGUAGUCCCUGUCUCUUAUAC